GAUCCACCUCAGAUGGAUCUGACCCUGGGCAGCGGAGUGUGGCUGGGUCAGCAUAGCCAUAAGCACGGCUUCUUCAAGGGUACCAUUCAGGAUGUCAAACUAAUUUUUGCUCCAAACGGCUACAUCACACAAUGUCCCAACCUUAAUCGCACCUGUCCGACAUGCAGUGAUUUCCUGAGCCUGGUGCAAGGCAUCAUGGACCUUCAGGAGUUGCUGGCCAAGAUGACCCUGAAG